CAGAGCAGCACAAGUCAGUGAAGAAAAGAUUAGUCCAAUCUAAGCACUAUGGCAAAAGCAUUUCCCUGCAAUACUGCCUUCAGAUUAAAGAGACAAACUCCAAACCUCUGAUUUUGUGCGACACCCCAAAACUACAGUCCAUUUUCAGGUCAGGAAAACACCAGGCACAGCAGGGUUAAUCUCACCUUCUGGGGAAAACUGUGAGUGCCAUUCAUUGAGGGGCUGUGCAUUUGCUGUCUCAUUCUGCCAAAGCAGCUCCAUCAAUCCCCUCCCAGCUACCUCAGCCAAGGUGCUUAAACUGGUUCAGCCCUGUCCCAUUUGGCCCCCAGGGUUUCAUUUGUGUGCCUGGUCCUGUGCAUCACGUGUGAACCUUCUCCAGAAGUCCUGAGACAGAUGCCCUUAGGGCCAGUGGGCUUUAGCAAGUUCACAGAGCUCUGGCUGAGUGGUGAACAUCUGAGACGUACAUCAGCUUGUGAGGAGGGACAACUCCCUUCUCAUCCAGAAGAGGAUAGUGUCAAAGAUUAAAAUGCAGAAGCCCAAGCCAAUAGUUACAGGGGUUUGCUUUUGUGUUUAACACACGGGCACCACAGUAGUGAUGGUGCACUGUGAAUAAAAAUUUUGUUCACUAUAUGCAUUAUAUCCUUCAGUCCAACAUGGUGAGCAAGUGAUUCCCAGACUCCUUUUCCCAGUCCCAAAUUAUGCUCCAGUACAGUUGGUACACCCCAGGGAUGGCCUCUAUAAAGUGUCAGGUACCAGUCACAUGUUGUGGCAACUGGGUUGGUGCACUGCCUGCCCCAUGUGAACACCAAGCACAGCUCUUUUCUCAGUCUGGCUGGCCCUUCUGUUUGCACCAGCAGGCAGCCCUUCCCAACAGGAAUGAUGGGGAUCACACUUCACCCCAGGGAGCUUCUAGCAGUGGCACCUCACCCUCAGAAUCUGCAGGAGGCUCAGGAGUUGGCACAACCGAGCUGAUCAAGUGACAGGUCCUCCAAACCCCCCUACAGCCCUGAGGUCAAGCAGCAAGAUGUCCUGGGUAUGGUGGAUGUCAUGAUUGAGGGCAGUGAUGGCUUUGAUGAAGAAAUUGGACUCUCUUUAAAUGAAGACAUGAUUAUCCAAACAUUUCCCUUCAGUGCUCUUGUCCCUGCUGCAUUAGAAGCCAGGAAUAUACUGUUCCCUCAGUCUGAAAAUGGAACAGAAGGAGGUGCAGAUCCAUGGUGUUUCCUGCCUACGGGGCCACGCUGAGCGCCGCAGGUCAGAAGAUCCUGCUGGUGCUUCAGUUGUAUGAGAAGAAUAAUCCAAGUCUUAUAAACUCCAGGUGAGCCGAACACCUUACGUUGUUGGGCAAACUACACACAGGUAGUCUCACAACUGGUCUUUUUGCAGGGUCUGGUUUUUAAAUGAAGGAGACAGUGAAUGAGAUCAAACCUAAAGGUGAAUGCUGCUUUUGGAAACGUUUUUACUACUUAUUUCCUAAUCUUAAUGUAAUUCUCUUAUGUUGCCCAGGCUUCAGUGUGUUUGUGGGUUAGAUGAGGGAAUGUUUCGUUUCUGGAGUCACUCACUCUCCAUAAGCAGGACUCACUGUAGGGGUCUCCUCACAGGUGGCAGGCUGAAACAUGAGUCACUGGUUGACUUUUCCCUUUGCUGUGCUCACGCAGUCGACAGGAAAGUCUGUUGCCAACAGUUGUGCUUAGGUCUGCCUUCCUCAUGUGCUCUUUUCUGUCCUGGAGGUAGCGGCAGAAAUACCACCAGCAGUGCAAGAGCGCUGGCUGAGUCAGGUCUGGAUCCCUGUCCCUUCAUGCAGCUGCUGCCAUUUUGAUCUGCACUUCAAGCUUAAUUCCAGAGGUGCCUCUAAAUGGAUAUGUUCUGCCUUGGAUGGACAGGGGAGGGCAGAGUGAAUGAGACACCCUCAGCCUAAAUUUGAAAAGCCUUGGGAUGGAUGGCAAAGGUGUUGCCAGGGAAAUGAGCUCUAGUUUCAAGUCCCAUAAGGUAAAAACUACAAAUGAAGAUGAAAUUUCAGUACUGAUUGAGCUCCUCUGUAGUUGCUUUGGCUCUGUUGCCUGAUACAGUUACCUUGAAUAAUG